UUUUCCAGAUUCUUGAUGGUGGAGGAACUGCUAUCACAGGUAUAUGAGGGUUUACUUCAGCAGGCCUCAGAGACUUCAAGAGGAGCUUGGCACAUAAUAGGCCCUCAGUAAAUGUGUUGAAUGCAUGAGUGAAUGAAUGUAUGAAUUCCACUUCACAAAGGGCCAUCGUUACAUUAUUUCGUUGGAAUACCACCCCAAUCCAUUGCCAUGCGUGUUAUUUCUAUCCUCGUGUCACAGAAAGGAAACAGAAUCUGGCAGAGUGAAAGGCAAUGUGACCCAAGAAGGUGGAGAACUACUGUCCCAGGCCUUAAAACCAAUAAAAGCAAAGAAAAGGGUAUAUUUUCCCUUGGAGGGAACGGGUGAUCCUGUUCCUUCCUCUGAGAUGACACAAACGUGGAUGUCUGCAUUGAACAUGUAUUUCCUUGCUCUUUCUUGUUGCUUGAGGAAUAUUCUAUGCUCUCUCUGUGAUAAUAAGGCAUAGAGGAGGCCUGGAACAGCCUGUUCUGGGCCCCUGCCUGCUUUAGGAAAGAGUGGCCCCCUAGCAGGGAGAGUUGUUGCAAAGGUUGCAUGAGGUAGCAUGCACUGCACAAGCUUAGAACAGAACCUGGAACACAGUAAGUGUGCAAAAAGUUUUUGCUCAUGAAAGAAUAAAUAAAAGAAUUCAAAUGCAAUACAAAAGUUCUUUAUACUGUAGGAUUAGACUACACCAAAACAAAAUUUAGGUAUAUUUUUCCUCAACUUCCUCGAAAUAGACAUGAUUCUCUCAGAGCAACUCCAGCCCUAUUGUU
rnacentral:lncRNA from 10 species